rnacentral:tRNA from 1 species
GCCGGGAUGGUGGAAUUGGUAGACACGCAAGACUUAAAAUCUUGUGGACGCAAGUCCGUGCGGGUUCGAUUCCCGCUCCUGGUA